rnacentral:rRNA from 1 species
CUACGGGAGGCAGCAGUGGGGAAUAUUGGACAAUGGGGGCAACCCUGACCCAGCGACGCCGCGUGAGGGAAGACGGCCUUCGGGUUGUAAACCUCUUUUGUACGGGAAGAAGGAAGUGACGGUACUGUACGAAUAAGUCCCGGCUAACUACGUGCCAGCAGCCGCGGUAAUA